CCUUUACAGGGAGACCUAACUUCAGGAAUGAAGGUAGACCAAAUUUAGUCUACAAAUACUUCUCAACAAUAAACUGAAGUCAUCCCAGGUCGAGCGAAGCAAUAUAGACAACGGCUUUCAAACUACGAUAGGGUUCGUUAAUGCAAGGAAGAAAUUCAGCAAGAGAUGGAAAUCCAACUGCUGGAUGAAUAUCCAGUCAGAACCUUGAAAACUGCAUAGAGUCAAAAAGUCAGGUCAGUCUGUAAAAGCAGACAAGGUCAAGCUAGAAAGGGCUAACGGUGAAUACCUAGGCACACAGAGGCGAAG
rnacentral:misc_RNA from 1 species